rnacentral:lncRNA from 1 species
GGCCAGCUCAGAAUCUUUUCUAUGCGCUCAAAAAUAAUGAAUAUAUAUACUUUUCCACUUGGUUUAAUAUCACUAUAUUCAAUUUUCUUAAUUUUUUAUACGUUUCUCAAGCGGUAUGCAUAAGCGUUUCUCAAAAAGUAUGUUUAGUACUUUGUCUGUAAAAUUAUGCUAAGAUGAAGAGAUUUUAGAUGGUAUGCCAAAGAGAAAAUGAUGUCUGAAGUUCAGUAAGUUUUGCUUAUUUUGCUGCAUAAAUAUGGCGUCAAUUUUACAGCAUCUGUGAUAACUUGU